CCACGCUCCGCUGCAGUGGCUCCACCGCAUGAAGGAUACCAACGCGCGGAUCACUUGUUGUAAUUGGCGUGGAGAGAGUAUAAAAGCCAGGAGAGACGGAAUCAAGCGAGAGAGAGACGGACUGCUGACCCAGGCCGGAAGCGGAAACCGGAAAAGAGGAAAACGAAAGUGCUACUGAGCGUGUCAGAAUAAAAGUCACCGUUUGGGUGUUUAUAACCUUUUUUGUUUUGUUAAUAAAAAAACCUAUCAGCA